UUCCUUCUCUGCGUCUAUAUGCUUCACCCAUCUAAUUUUCUAUUUUUGAAAAUUGGAAUCAAUACGGUGAGUUUUAUAACUCGUUCUUUUAAGGCUUUUCGAGAAUUAGAGAAAUGAAGAAAAUGUAUUUGGCGGCUUCGGUUGCUUGUCACUUCUCCAUGUUUUCAUCUCUCGAAUGCACUACGUAACGUCCUUCUUCUUCUCUCUUCAGUCGAACUCAGAGCCUCAUUAUUGACCUGUAGAUAUAUAAUUGUAAUCCAUACGGUGAUUUUUUACUGGGGUUUUUAAUGCUUUGAGAAGUAGAGAAAGAAAGAAGAGAUUAUGGAGCAUCUUACCCUGUGAUGAACAUAGUGCCUCCGGUUGCUCGUCGCUCCUCCAAGUCUCCAUCUCUCGAAUCCAUUACGUAACUCCAAUAAGACCAAUAAUGGUGGCUUUCGAUGGCACGCCUUUCCUGUGGUAGUGGUGUCUGGUGACGACAAUGGUGGCACUUCCUUUAACCCCAUCAAAGCCGGAGAUGAAGAUAGGGAACGAGAGAGUGAUCAUCAGAAUGGGAUAACAAUGGCAUCUUGGUACUUUUCACGAUCGAAUAAUGGGGUCUGGCAUUUAAGAGGAAAUGUAUAUAUGUUUAGUUGAAUAUUGUAGGCACAAUUUCUAAUUGUGUUAUGAAUUUUGAACACUGGAUGGAGAUCAUGUACACGUUUACGCAGAUAAUCUCUCAUAUUAACCAUGGCAGUGUUGAAAAGAGAAAAUUUAGUAACUGACAACAAAUACCCCAGACAAAAAUAGAGAUGAUAGUAGUUAUGAGAAGCGAAAUUAACCAUAGUUUU
rnacentral:lncRNA from 1 species